GGAAUGGGCAGUUAUUUUUCUUCCAUCAGCGCCACCGUGGUCGAGGCAGAGAAUCCUCACGUGAGAGCGUUCCACUCCGCGGAGAGCUGGCAGACCCACUUCAAACAGAUCAAAGACUCCCCUAAGCUCCUACGUUGUGAUAGAUUUCACGGUGUCGUGGUGUCCCCCUUGCAAAUUCAUAGCUCCGCUAUUUAACGAGAUGGCCGCAAAGUUUACCGACGCUGAAUUCAUCAAGAUCGAUGUCGACGAAUUAUCUGAUGUGGCGAAGGAGUUUAACGUGGAAGCGAUGCCGACUUUUGUGUUGUGGAAGAAAGGGAAGGAAGUUGACAGGGUUGUGGGCGCCGAGAAGGACGAACUCAAGAACAAGAUUGAGAAACAUUAUCAAUUGUGAAAACGUGGAAUCAACACAUGCCAUGCUAGUAAUCUUUAAUUUUAGCUAUUCAAACAAACCUAUGUAUGUGUGAUGGUGAUAAAUUUGUGAAAUUUAAACUCGUUGGGUUGUUUCUUCGCCAA